GUAGAGGGCGGGACUGAAACUGGAAUGAACAAGGCGCGGCCAAGAUUCCCCUUCACACGUGCAGACAAAGAGCGCCAACAACACAACCCAAAUAUGCACUUUUAAACUUUUCCAAACGAAACGGACGACUUCCACGAACAUAGGAAAUGCAACGGUGGAAUGAAACCUGUUUAAUUUGAAAAGCUUUUCUUUUUCGGGAGGCCUGCAUUGGGAAAAAGUACCUUGGAGCCGUACCUUUACAACAGGAGUUUAGCUGCAGGACCUCUGAAUAACCAUCUACACUGUGGCGGAUUUACCCGCGACCUGUACCGGACUCAUGGAAUCGAAAUUGGAUUAUAUCUUCCGGCGCACAUCACAACAAAGGCUUUCCAAAUUGGAUAGGCGUCUCAUCGGACCCUCAAGGACAACAUGGACUUGGAACCAUUUUUAUCUCCUAGAAACAUGAAGAAAAUGAAAUAUUCUACAUUUCUGUGGAUAUCCAUGGCUACAGGAAGUAGUUAAAGAGGAGCCGAGCACCAUAACUACAGGAAGUAGUUAAAGAGGGACAGAGCACCAUAACUACAGGAUGUUAGAUGAAGAGGAGCAGAGCACCAUAACUACAGGAUGUUAGUUCAAGAGGAGCAGAGCACCAUAGCUACAGGAAGUAGUUAAAGAGGAGCAGAGCACCAUAACUACAGGAAGUAGUUAAAGAGGGACAGAGCACCAUAACUACAGGAUGUUAGAUGAAGAGGAGCAGAGCACCAUAACUACAGGAUGUUAGUUCAAGAGGAGCAGAGCACCAUACCUACAGGAAGUAGUUAAAGAGCAGAGCACCAUAACUACAGCAUGUAAGUUCAAGAGGGACAGAGCACCAUAACUACAGCAUGUUAGUUCAAGAGGAACAGAGCACCAUAACUACAGCAUGUUAGUUCAAGAGGGACAGAGCACCAUAACUACAGCAUGUUAGUUCAAGAGGGACAGAGCACCAUAACUACAGCAUGUUAGUUCAAGAGGAACAGAGCAGAGCACCAUAACUACAGCAUGUUAGUUCAAGAGGGACAGAGCAGAGCACCAUAACUACAGCAUGUUAGUUCAAGAGGAGCAGAGCAGAGCACCAUAACUACAGCAUGUUCGUUCAAGAGGGACAGAGCAACAUAACUACAGGAUGUUAGUUCAAGAGGAACAGAGCAGAGCACCAUAACUACAGCAUGUUAGUUCAAGAGGAACAGAGCAGAGCACCAUAACUACAGCAUGUUAGUUCAAGAGGGACAGAGCACCAUAACUACAGCAUGUUAGUUCAAGAGGGACAGAGCACCAUAACUACAGCAUGUUAGUUCAAGAGGGACAGAGCACCAUAACUACAGCAUGUUAGUUCAAGAGGAACAGAGCAGAGCACCAUAACUACAGCAUGUUAGUUCAAGAGGGACAGAGCAGAGCACCAUAACUACAGCAUGUUAGUUCAAGAGGGACAGAGCACCAUAACUACAGCAUGUUAGUUCAAGAGGGACAGAGCAGAGCACCAUAACUACAGGAUGUUAGUUCAAGAGGGACAGCGCAGAGCACCAUAACUACAGCAUGUUAGUUCAAGAGGAGCAGAGCACCAUAACUACAGCAUGUUAGUUCAAGAGGGACAGAGCAUCAUAACUACAGCAUGUUAGUUCAAGAGGGACAGAGCAGAGCACCAUAACUACAGGAUGUUAGUUCAAGAGGGACAGAGCACCAUAACUACAGCAUGUUAGUUCAAGAGGGACAGAGCAGAGUACCAUAACUACAGCAUGUUAGUUCAAGAGGGACAGAGCACCAUAACUACAGCAUGUUAGUUCAAGAGGGACAGAGCAGAGCACCAUAACUACAGCAUGGUAUUUCAAGAGGGACAGAGCAGAGCACCAUAACUACAGCAUGUUAGUUCAAGAGGGACAGAGCACCAUAACUACAGCAUGUUAGUUCAAGAGGGACAGAGCACCAUAACUACAGCAUGUUAGUUCAAGAGGAACAGAGCACCAUAACUACAGCAUGUUAGUUCAAGAGGGACAGAGCAGAGCACCAUAACUACAGCAUGAUAGUUCAAGAGGGACAGAGCACCAUAACUACAGCAUGUUAGUUCAAGAGGGACAGAGCACCAUAACUACAGCAUGUUAGUUCAAGAGGGACAGAGCACCAUAACUACAGCAUGUUAGUUCAAGAGGGACAGAGCACCAUAACUACAGCAUGUUAGUUCAAGAGGGACAGAGCAGAGCACCAUAACUACAGCAUGAUAGUUCAAGAGGGACAGAGCACCAUAACUUACAGCAUGUUAGUUCAAGAGGGACAGAGCACCAUAACUACAGCAUGUUAGUUCAAGAGGAACAGAGCAGAGCACCAUAACUACAGCAUGUUAGUUCAAGAGGAACAGAGCACCAUAACUACAGCAUGUUAGUUCAAGAGGGACAGAGCAGAGCACCAUAACUACAGCAUGUUAGUUCAAGAGGGACAGAGCACCAUAACUACAGCAUGUUAGUUCAAGAGGGACAGAGCAGAGCACCAUAACUACAGCAUGUUAGUUCAAGAGGGACAGAGCAGAGCACCAUAACUACAGCAUGUUAGUUCAAGAGGGACAGAGCAGAGCACCAUAACUACAGCAUGUUAGUUCAAGAGGGACAGAGCACCAUAACUACAGCAUGUUAGUUCAAGAGGGACAGAGCAGAGCACCAUAACUACAGGAUGUUAGUUCAAGAGGGACAGAGCACCAUAACUACAGCAUGUUAGUUCAAGAGGAACAGAGCACCAUAACUACAGCAUGUUAGUUGAAGAGGGACAGAGCACCAUAACUACAGCAUGUUAGUUCAAGAGGGACAGAGCACCAUAACUACAGCAUGUUAGUUCAAGAGGAACAGAGCAGAGCACCAUAACUACAGCAUGUUAGUUCAAGAAGGACAGAGCACCAUAACUACAGCAUGUUAGUUGAAGAGGGACAGAGCACCAUAACUACAGCAUGUUAGUUCAAGAGGGACAGAGCACCAUAACUACAGCAUGUUAGUUCAAGAGGAACAGAGCAGAGCACCAUAACUACAGCAUGUUAGUUCAAGAGGGACAGAGCAGAGCACCAUAACUACAGCAUGU